UACGAAGGGGGCUAGCGUUGCUCGGAAUCACUGGGCGUAAAGGGUGCGUAGGCGGGUUUUUAAGUCAGGGGUGAAAUCCUGGAGCUCAACUCCAGAACUGCCUUUGAUACUGAAGAUCUUGAGUCCGGGAGAGGUGAGUGGAACUGCGAGUGUAGAGGUGAAAUUCGUAGAUAUUCGCAAGAACACCAGUGGCGAGGGCGGCUCACUGGCCCGGUACUGACGCUGAGGCACGAAAGCGUGGGGAGCAAACAGG
rnacentral:rRNA from 1 species